UACUAGGUUGGUGCAAAAGUAGUUGCGGUUUUUGCCAUUGGAAGUAAUGGCAAAAACCGCAUCUACUUUUGCACCAACCUAUA
rfam:Pan troglodytes isolate Yerkes chimp pedigree #C0471 (Clint) chromosome 3, whole genome shotgun sequence.